rnacentral:sRNA from 1 species
AUCGCACUCCACAAUCGAAUUUUAUAAGCUCUUAUCGCUCGGCAGAGCCUCAAUAACGUGCUAACGGCACCCGAAGCUCCUGCUCCCUGCUCGCCUGCCAAAGCUGAUAGCAGCCACAAAAGCUCAAUUUAAAAUCGAACAAAAAACAACCAAACAUUCGAAAUCGAAACCGACAUGCGACAAUCGCAAUUAGCGAAAGAAGGAAGGAAAGCAAGAGACGGAACAAAAGGAGAGCCGGAGGAGGAGGAGCAGUAGAAGGAGGAAACUGAGUCAGACCUCGGAGUCUACCGGCGUUUCUCGGAGCAGGAGGAGGUGGAGGUGCUGGUGGCGGGGAGCCUGCGGUGCUGCCUCUGCGGGCUAUAUAGAAGCCGACGCCAGCGACACCGACAACGACAACGAAGGCAGCGGCUGAGGCGGCGGCGACAACGAAAGCUCCAGAGAGACGGACAGCGAGACGAUCGCCGGGGAAUUCUCGGUGUCGGUGAGUGUAGCUCGGUGUCGCUCGCUCUUUCAGGCCCAUGUUCGUAUAAACUUUAAUAAAUAUUAUUACUACUACUACUCUGCCCGACGCUGUUGUUGUUGUCCGUAUUAACUGCUGCACUCGGACGCACUCGUACUCGUCUUGGCAAAAUAUUGUUAACAGUUAACACAACAGUUCGGCUCGGAUCGGAUCGGCCGUUGGUUGGCCGCUGAUUCGCGCCUCGGAUCAUUUCGGAUCGCUGCUUCGUACCCUCCUCUUAUCGGCGGAGAUUAAGCGACUACUAUAUAUAUGUAUGUAUGUACAUACAUAUGUGUACAAUACAUCUGUACAUAAAUCCAUGUGUACAUAUAAUUCAAAUUGUUUAAUGGCCCACUAAAUGUGUACAUAUAUAUAAUCUGUAUAUAGAACGCGUAUUUGUCUGUGGCUUUGUAUG